CCUACGGGUGGCUGCAGUGGGGAAUAUUGCACAAUGGGCGCAAGCCUGAUGCAGCCAUGCCGCGUGUGUGAAGAAGGCCUUCGGGUUGUAAAGCACUUUCAGCGGGGAGGAAGGCGUUAAGGUUAAUAACCUUGUCGAUUGACGUUACCCGCAGAAGAAGCACCGGCUAACUCCGUGCCAGCAGCCGCGGUAAUACGGAGGGUGCAAGCGUUAAUCGGAAUUACUGGGCGUAAAGCGCACGCAGGCGGUCUGUCAAGUCGGAUGUGAAAUCCCCGGGCUCGACCUGGGAACUGCAUUCGAAACUGGCAGGCUAGAGUCUUGUAGAGGGGGGUAGAAUUCCAGGUGUAGCGGUGAAAUGCGUAGAGAUCUGGAGGAAUACCGGUGGCGAAGGCGGCCCCCUGGACAAAGACUGACGCGCAGGUGCGAAAGCGUGGGGAGCAAACAGGAUUAGAUACCCCGGUAGUC
rnacentral:rRNA from 1 species